rnacentral:rRNA from 1 species
GGGGCGCCCAAGGAUUAGGUCUGCGGUCCGAUUAGNUUGUUGUUGAUGUAAUGGAUCAACAAGCCUGCAAUCGNUACGGGUUGUGAGAGCAAGAGCCCGGAGAUGGGUUCUGAGAAAAGAACCCAGGUCCUNCGGGACGCAUCAGGCGCGAAAACUUUACAAUGUGCGAAAGCACNAUAAGGGAACUCUGAGUGCCUCCUAUGGAGGCUGUUCAGGUGUCUAAAANGCACUUGAAGUAAGGGCUGGGUAAGACNGGUGCCAGCCGCCGCGGUAACACCGGCAGCCCAAGUGGUAGCCACGAUUAUUGGGUCUAAAGCGUCCGUAGCCGGCCAGGUAAGUUCUUUGGGAAAUUUAGCCGCUCAACGGUUAAGCUUUCAGGGAAUACUGCUUGGCUUGGGACCGGGAGAGGUCAGAGGUACUUCAAGGGUAGGGGUGAAAUCCGUUAAUCCUUGAGGGACCACCAGUAGCGAAGGCGUCUGACCAGACCGGGUCCGACGGUGAGGGACGAAGGCUAGGGUCGCGAACCGGAUUAGAUACCCGGGUAGUCCUAGCUGUAAACGAUGCGGGCCAGGUGUUGGCAUUACUGCGAGUGAUGUCAGUGCCGAAGGGAAGCCGUUAAGCCCGCCAUCUGGGGAGUACGGUCGCAAGACUGAAA